rnacentral:rRNA from 1 species
UACGGCUNCCUUGUUACGACUUUACCCUCCUCACUAAGCAUACCUUCGACGGCGUCCUCCUUGCGGUUAGACUACCGGCUUCGGGUAUCCCCAACUCGGAUGGUAUGACGGGCGGUGUGUACAAGGCCCGGGAACGUAUUCACCGUACCAUGCUGAUGUACGAUUACUAGCGAUUCCAACUUCAUGAAGUCGGGUUUCAGACUUCAAUCCGAACUACGGGUGGCUUUUUGCGCUUUGCUAUAACCUCGCGGCGUCGCGUCGCUUUGUACCACCCAUUGUAGCACGUGUGUAGCCCUGGACGUAAGGGCCAUGAUGACUUAACGUCAUCCCCACCUUCCUCCGGUUUGUCACCGGCAGUUUCGCCAGAGUCCCCAGCUUUACCUGCUGGUAACUGGCAAUAGGGGUUGCGCUCGUUGCGGGACUUAACCCAACACCUCACGGCACGAGCUGACGACAGCCAUGCAGCACCUGCACAGGGGCGUAUUGCUACGCUGACACAUCUCUGCAUCAUUCCCCUGCAUGUCAAACCCAGGUAAGGUUCCUCGCGUAUCAUCGAAUUAAACCACAUGCUCCACCGCUUGUGCGGGCCCCCGUCAAUUCCUUUGAGUUUCACCCUUGCGGGCAUACUCCCCAGGCGGCACACUUAACGCGUUUGCUACGACACCGAGCCACAAGGCCCAACAUCUAGUGUGCAUCGUUUAUUGUGCGGACUACCAGGGUAUCUAAUCCUGUUUGCUCCCCGCACUUUCGCGCCUCAGCGUCAGUCUUAGGCUAGAAGUUUGCUUCGCCAUUGGUGUUCUUCCUAAUAUCUAUAGAUUUCACCCCUACACUAGGAAUUCCAACUUCCCCUCCUAGACUCGAGCUCAGCAGUUUCCGAAGCAGUUCCACAGUUAAGCUGCGGGAUUUCACUUCAGACUUACAGAGCCGCCUACGCGCCCUUUACGCCCAAUAAUUCCGAACAACGCUCGCCCCUUACGUGUUACCGCGGCUGCUGGCACGUAAUUAGCCGGGGCUUAUUCACCACCUAACGUCAUCACACGGUCAUUACCUACCAUGCUUAUUCUUCAGUGGUAAAAGAAUUUUACAACCUUUCGGCCUUCGUCAUUCACGCGGCGUCGCUCCGUCAGACUUUCGUCCAUUGCGGAAUAUUCUUAGCUGCUGCCUCCCGUAGGAGUUUGGGCCGUACCUCAGUCCCAAUGUGGCCGAUCACCCUCUCAGGCCGGCUAACUAUCAUAGCCUUGGUGGGCCAUUACCUCACCAACUAGCUAAUAGUACGCAGGCUCAUCCACAGGCGGCGCCGAAGCGCCUUUCCUUACCAAACCAAAGUCCGGUAAGGAUAUUCGGUAUUACCCUAUAUUUCUACAGGCUAUCCCCAACCUACGGGUAGAUCACCCACGCGUUACUCACCAGUCCGCCGCUCUAGGCGGUAUUGCUACCGCUUGCCGCUCGACUUGCAUGCUUAAGACGCGCCGCAGGCGUUCGUUCUGAGCCAGGAUCAAACUC